CCUACGGGUGGCUGCAGUGAGGAAUAUUGGUCAAUGGGCGGGAGCCUGAACCAGCCAAGUCGCGUGAGGGAAGACGGUCCUAUGGAUUGUAAACCUCUUUAGGCGGGGAGCAAUGCCGGGCACGCGUGCCCGGAGGGAGAGUACCCGCAGAAUAAGCAUCGGCUAACUCCGUGCCAGCAGCCGCGGUAAUACGGAGGAUGCUAGCGGCAUCCGGAUUUAUUGGGUUUAAAGGGUGCGUAGGCGGAAAGCAAGUCAGAUGUGAAAACCAUGGGCUCAAACUGUGGCCUGCAUUUGAAACUGUUUUUCUUGAGUACUGGAGAGGCAGACGGAAUUCCUAGUGUAGCGGUGAAAUGCGUAGAUAUUAGGAGGAACACCAGAGGCGAAGGCGGUCUGCUGGACAGCAACUGACGCUGAGGCGCGAAAGCGUGGGGAGCAAACAGGAUUAGAUACCCGAGUAGUC
rnacentral:rRNA from 1 species